AUUGAACGCUGGCGGCAUGCUUUACACAUGCAAGUCGAACGGUAACAGCACUUCGGUGGCUGACGAGUGGCGAACGGGUGAGUAAUACAUCGGAACGUGCCUAGUAGUGGGGGAUAACUACUCGAAAGAGUAGCUAAUACCGCAUGAGAUCUAAGGAUGAAAGCAGGGGACCUUCGGGCCUUGCGCUACUAGAGCGGCUGAUGGCAGAUUAGGUAGUUGGUGGGAUAAAAGCUUACCAAGCCGACGAUCUGUAGCUGGUCUGAGAGGACGACCAGCCACACUGGGACUGAGCCACGGCCCAGACUACUACGGGAGGCAGCAGUGGGGAAUUUUGGACAAUGGGCGCAAGCCUGAUCCAGCAAUGCCGCGUGCAGGAUGAAGGCCUUCGGGUUGUAAACUGCUUUUGUACGGAACGAAAAGCCCUCUUCUAAUACAGGAGGGUCAUGACGGUACCGUAAGAAUAAGCACCGGCUAACUACGUG
rnacentral:rRNA from 1 species